rnacentral:rRNA from 1 species
UGGCAGGUACANAGGGAUGCUACCGGGCGACCGGAUGCGGAUCUCGAAAGCCUGUCCCAGUUCGGACUGGAGUCUGCAACCCGACUCCACGAAGUUGGAUUCGCUAGUAAUCGCGCAUCAGCCAUGGCGCGGUGAAUACGUUCCCGGGCCUUGUACACACCGCCCGUCAAGCCAUGGGAGCCGGGGGCGCCUGAAGUCCGGGACCGCGAGGACCGGCCUAGGGCGAAACUGGUAACUGGGGCUAAGUCGUAACAAGGUAAC